GCUCACAUGGAUCAGUUGGUAGAUCGCCUUCUAUAAUUUAACGGAGUAAUAUAUUCUAUAUGAAGGAGACGGAGGUUCGAACCCUCCUGUGGGCA